GUUAGGAAUAUUGGACAAUGGGCGAAAGCCUGAUCCAGCCAUGCCGCGUGAACGAUGAAGGCCUUCGGGUUGUAAAGUUCUUUAGCCGAUGAUUAUAAUGACUGUAGUCGGAAAAUAAGCCCCGGCUAACUUCGUGCCAGCAGCCGCGGUAAUACGAAGGGGGCGAGCGUUAUUCGGAAUCACUGGGCGUAAAGCGUGCGUAGGCGGUUUUGUAAGUUAGUAGUGAAAGCCCAGGGCUCAACCUUGGAAUUGCUCUUAAAACUGCAAGGCUCGAAUCUCGGAGAGGAUAGCGGAAUUUCCAGUGUAGCAGUGAAAUGCGUAGAUAUUGGAAGGAACACCAGUGGCGUAAGCGGCUAUCUGGACGAGUAUUGACGCUGAGGCACGAAAGCGUGGGGAUCAAACAGGAUUAGAAACCCGUGUAGUCC
rnacentral:rRNA from 1 species